rnacentral:lncRNA from 1 species
AUGUCACAAAGGCCGGGGGUUCUUGAUUCUGGAGAGGAAGGAAGAGAAUUGAAAGAGGAGGAAGUCAUAGGGCACGAUGGAGCCAGUGGCUUGAGGAUCAGGAGAAAGGGGAAUACGUUCUCUUUAUACAAGCAAGAUAUCUGGACUGAAUCCUUGCCAAAGUCACACCGUUUCCAUAAGAAAAUAGAGAAGGGAAGUGAGUUGAGGAAAGGAAUAGGGAACUCAAAGAUGAUUUCAGUGGUGUUUCAGAAGUCCUUCCUAAUGUGGAAGCAAACAUCAAGGCCUCCCUUUUUCUAAAGAGGACAUGAGUUUAGAUAAUGAGUCUUUCUUUAACCAAAGAAGCUUACUCAUUAACAAAUUCCUAUGCCAGCCAGCUGGGUUUGUAAGGUUAAAGAAGCUCUCUAAAGAAAAAUCUCACUGACAAUAUAAUCUUGUGGUAUCUUGCUUGCUCUCAAGGCCUCUCAGAAUGAGAAUGGAGCAGGUCAUUGCUCUUGUUGUCCCUGAGCUUUUCCUACUUUAGAAGGUUGAUUGUUAUAUAACCUACAUCUAACUACAUCCAAGAGUUAGCAUGAAAAAAAAAUUUUUGUCAAUUUAUUUGGCUGUGCCGGGUCUUAGUUGCAGCAUGUGAACUUAUUAAGACUUUUUUGGUUGUUUUUUGAUGUGGACCAUUUUUAAAGUCUUCACUGAAUUUGUUUUAUGUUUCGGUUUUCUGGCCACAGGGUGUGUGGGGUCUUAGUUUCCUGAUCGGGGAUGGAACCUGCACCCUUUGCAUUGGGAAUGGGGAGUCUUAGUCACUGGACCCCCAGGGAAGUCCCAUUAGCAUAAAAAUUAAUGAAUGUUUUAAAAAUGUAUAUUAAUUGGUGAAACAAUUUAGCACUAAGCUUACUACGCAUUCUAAAACAUGCAUAGCAUUCAAAGAACAACAAUUAAAAAAAAAAUAAACUGGAUGUGUGAUUAUGGUGCUACGAUUGCUUUUAGUCUUCCUGACAGUUUUUCUUGAAAUCUAACAAUGACACAAUGCUUGUUGCUUUGUGAAAGAUUUUCCAAACUAAUCAUGACACAAAAGGCAGACUCAGUAAAGGAAGAGGUUGAUAGAUUUGAUCACAUAAAAUUUAAGAUGCUUGUAUAGAAAAAUAUACCUUAAAAGACAAAUAUCAAGGCAGGGAACAUCUGCGACAGUUCUUAUAAUUCAAUAAGAAAAAGAUGAAUACUCCUGAGGGAAAAUUGCCCAAACAGAUUUUUUUAAAAAGAUGCAGAAACAAAUUCAACCUAUUUACUAAUCAAAGAAAUGCAAUGAGAUACUGUUUGUCAUUUUGCCAAAGUGGACUCAGAAGCCCCCCAAACAAGAAAAAUAUGUAAAAAAAAAAUCAAGCUCAUUAAUAAGCAAAGAAAUACAAUAAGAUACCAUGUAUCACCUCCCCGAUUGGCAAAGAUUGAAAAAAAAAAAUGAUUAACUUGGUGUGCUAAGGAAGGAAGAAAGGGCAGAGAAAACACACCAGUUCAUACACUGUGCUGAUCAGACAUAAAGAGAGAAAAGCAGCAGAAUGCUGGAGGAAAAUAAGUGCCAGGGCAAGAGAAUUAAGGGUGGUGAAAGAUGCACCAAAGGCUGCUCUUCUCCUGUCAUCCUAAUAAUACUAACCUCUAUACCUCUAAGUAGUAUAUUUAAAUAACAUCUCUUGAAUUUUUCACUCUAAGAGAUUAUCUACCAAGUCAGUUCUUUUACAUCAUUUUUCACUCCUUUCCCAUCUC